rnacentral:rRNA from 1 species
GAUGAACGCUAGCUACAGGCUUAACACAUGCAAGUCGAGGGGCAGCAUUAGGUAGCAAUACUGAGAUGGCGACCGGCGCACGGGUGCGUAACGCGUAUCCAACUUUCCCGUUACUCUGGGAUAGCCUUCCGAAAGGGAGAUUAAUACCGGAUGGUGUUUGAAUUCCGCAUGUUAUUCAAACUAAAGAUUUAUCGGUAACGGAUAGGGAUGCGUGACAUUAGGUAGAUGGCGGGGUAACGGCCCACCAUGCCCACGAUGUCUAGGGGUUCUGAGAGGAAGGUCCCCCACACUGGAACUGAGACACGGUCCAGACUCCUACGGGAGGCAGCAGUGAGGAAUAUUGGUCAAUGGUCGGAAGACUGAACCAGCCAAGUAGCGUGAAGGAUGAAGGUUCUAUGGAUUGUAAACUUCUUUUAUAUAGGAAUAAAACCUCCCACGUGUGGGAGCUUGUAUGUACUAUAUGAAUAAGCAUCGGCUAACUCCGUGCCAGCAGCCGCCGUAAUAC